AAAGACACAGACUAUGUCUGGAUGCAGGCAGAGAGUGGAGUCACUGCAGCUCUAAGCCAAGGAAGGCAGAGAAUUGCUGGCAACCAUCAGAGGCUAGAAGAGAGGCAAGGAAAAAUUUUCCUCUAGAGCCUCCGGAGAGAGCUUGGCCCUGCUCACACCUUGAUUUUGGUCUUCUGGCUUUCAAAACUGGGAGAGAAUAAAUUUGUCAUACGUGGUUAUGGCGGGCCUAGGAAACGAAUUCAGCUUGUGAUGCCACAAAAACUAACUGAUGCAGCCACUGAUGGGUUACAUGUGACCUGAACAGGGCCAAUGAGACUGUGCGGGACUGCCAGCUGCUCCCCAAAAGCCACUUCUCUUCUUCCUGAGCAGAUGGCCAAGCUCAGCGUGGCCAUGUGACUGGGGCCAACUUAAUGGUUCGUGUAGGAGGCGGAGGGGCCGCAGCUGGGAAGAAGUGGGCAAGUCACUGUCUGCUUUUCUUUUCCCUUCCACAGGCUGGUUGCAUGUGCCAUGGCCUGGGGCAGGAGCAGCAAACCGAGGCCUGCAGGACAAGUGUGGCCUGUGGUCCUGUUUUUGCCCAACCCACAAGUUAAGAACGGUUAUUCCGUUUUGUUUGUUUUUUGAAAUAUAGCUUCACUCUUUUGCCCAGGCUGGAGCGAAGUGACGAGAUCUUGGCUCACUGCAACCUCCACCCGCCGGGUUCAAGCGAUUCUCCUGCCUCAGCCUCCCAAGUAGCUGGGAUUACAGGUGCUCACCACCACGUCCAGCUAAUUUUUGUAUUUUUAGUAGAGACAGAGUUUCACCAUGUUGGCCAGGCUGGUCUCGAACUCCUAACCUCGGGUGAUCCACCCACCUCAGCCUUCCAAAGUGCUGGGAUGACAGCGUGAGCCACCACACCUGGCCAAGAAUGGUUUUUACAUUUUUAAAGUAUUGUGAAAGAAGAAAGAAAGAAAGAAAGAGAGAAAGAAAGGAAGGAAGGAAGGGGAAAGAAAAAAGAGAAAGAAGAAAGAAAGAAAAAGAAGAAAAAGAAAGAAAGAAAAAAGAAAGAAAGAAAGAAAGAAAGAAAGAAAGAAAGAAAGAAAGAAAGACUGUGACAGAGACCCUCAAAGCCGAAAAUGUUGACUCUCUGGCUCUUUCCAGGAAAAGUCUGCAGACUCCUGCCCUAGGGGACAGUGAACCACAAGACGGAAUGAGUCAGGUCCUUGAGCAACCACAUGGAGAAAUGACCAGAAAGGCCCACCACUGAUAUUACAUGACAGCAAAAUGCAGUGUUAUAGUCUGAGCUGUUACAGCAGAAUUUGAGGUCUAUUUGUCAUAGCAACUUAGCCUUGCCUAACUAGUACAGAGACAAAGUGAGAUUUUCACUUAGACUUCUGGAAAAGAGAUUAUUUUUGCCACCUACAUCUAUACCCUGAAACUAGGCAGGCACAAAACUGGUUGCCCAUCCCGCUACAAGUGAAUCCUGGGACGUAAGCCUGCAGAGGGAAGGCGUGUGGAAGAAUUAGAGAGCAAACUGAUUCCAAUGACAUUGUUUGAACCCUGGAGCCAGCUGUACCUGCAGCUGACCCUACCUUCUCAGCUUACAAGAGCCACUGACUUCUCUCUUUUACGUAAGACAGUUUGAAAUUGUUUCUGUUACAUUCAAACAAAAAUAUUCCUAACCUAGUUUGGUAUUAUGAGAGCAAUAACUUUAAAUCUGCUAUCACUCAUUCAGAAAAAGAAUACAUCAUUCACAGACUUUGGUGUUUUAAGUGCUAGCUCUCAUUGAUACAAUGAAUGAGAUAAGAUGAGACACAUCUCCUAACAAAUAGAAAUUCACAGGGUGUGCUGAAGGCUAUGGCUUGGCACAGCUGCUCUGGAACCACAACACUGACUUCAGGAGCAAGAGAUGAGAGUCGGAGAUACCACUUAAGAGUCUGUCUUUAUGCAGCUGAUCAAAGUGACAAGCUCAUUCACAGCCUAAUGUGGCCUGAUGGCUAAAAUAAAUGAAGGGGGAAAAGC
rnacentral:lncRNA from 1 species